AAACUGUGUUGCUUGAGUGAAGUAGAGGCAGGCGGAACUCCCGGUGUAGCGGUGAAAUGCGUAGAGAUUAGGAAGAACACCAGUGGCGAAGGCGGUUCUCUGGACUGUAACUGACGCUGAGGCACGAAAGCGUGGGUAGCAAACAGGAUUAGAUACCCUGGUAGUCCACGCCGUAAACGAUGAGUACUAGGUGUAGGAGGUAUCGACCCCUUCUGUGCCGCAGUAAACACAAUAAGUACUCCGCCUGGGAAGUACGAUCGCAAGAUUAAAACUCAAAGGAAUUGACGGGGGCCCGCACAAGCAGCGGAGCAUGUGGUUUAAUUCGAAGCAACGCGAAGAACCUUACCUGGACUUGACAUCCCCUGAAUAUCUUAGAGAUAAGAGAAGCCCUUCGGGGCAGGGAGACAGGUGGUGCAUGGUUGUCGUCAGCUCGUGUCGUGAGAUGUUAGGUUAAGUCCUGCAACGAGCGCAACCCCUGUUGUUAGUUGCUAACAGUAAGAUGAGCACUCUAACAAGACUGCCGCGGUUAACGCGGAGGAAGGUGGGGAUGACGUCAAAUCAUCAUGCCCCUUAUGUCCAGGGCAACACACGUGCUACAAUGGGUAGGAACAACGAGAUGCAAGACCGCAAGGUGGAGCAAACCUCAAAAACUACUCUCAGUUCGGAUUGCAGGCUGAAACCCGCCUGCAUGAAGCUGGAGUUGCUAGUAAUCGCGAAUCAGCAUGUCGCGGUGAAUACGUUCCCGGGCCUUGUACACACCGCCCGUCACACCAUGAGAGCUGGCAACACCCGAAGUCCGUAGUCUAACGAAAGAGGACGCGGCCGAAGGUGGGGUUAGUGAUUGGGGUGAAGUCGUAACAAGGUAGCCG
rnacentral:rRNA from 1 species